UUCAGUUAAGAAUUUAUAAACAUAUUUUGGUAGAAUUAUUUCCGGUCAAAAUUUUCAAUCUUCAGAAAUGAUUAAAUUUUUAAAUCUAAAUUUUAGUAACUUUGGAUCACCAGAGUAUGUAGGUGUCAUAACAAAUCAAAAUGAAGAGAAAACAAUUCACUAUAUUCUACAUAGUCCCAUACAAUUAAUCAAUCUACAAGCACAUACUCUAAAAUAUAACACAAUUAUGGCACUAUUUUCUACGAAUAUUCCAUUUGGAGGUUUUGCAUAUUGUAAUCCUCGUAAUCUUCUUGCUAUCUCGUUGAAAACGUAAUUAAUAUGAAAAUUCAGGUGGUGUGCGUGGUGGUGUUGGGAUUGGAAUUCACAGACUUCUUCCUGUGAGAAAAUAUUUCGAGAAAACCUUAGUGCAAAGAAUGCCAUAUUAAACUAUGGGCUGGAAUGAAGACUAAACUGAAAAAAAUGUUUAAAGAAGACUCAAUGCAGAAGAUGGCAUUCUGUAUUAUGGGGUAUGACUCGACUUCUGAUGACAUAAAUAAAAAUGAAAACAUUAAACAAGAACAAUAUUUUCUCACAAUCUGGACAGAGGUAUUGAGAUGCAAAAAGAUGAUUUCUGGUGAUUGUUAAAGUAAAACUAAAAACGCCAAUCCAGAGUAAGAAAUCUAAACUUUGAAUAGUUUUCAUUUAUAAGUCGGGCAGACUACAAUUAAGAACAAUUUGGUUCAGAAUCAGGACAGUGGAGUUGAAACAGACGGAGUCCGUAUUAUGAUAAGUUUUAGGAGGUUGGAUAAAAUAGUUAUGGUAGUGAAGGCAUCUACGAAGAAGCUGUGACUAAAUUAAAAAUUUUUUUUUUUUGAAAAAUGAAAUGCAUGUUUUAUUUUUUCUUUUUUUUUUGAACUAACUUAUUAAAUCAUUACAGCAAACAGUGA